UCUUGGUCCCCUUGUGUCUUGGUUCAACCAAAUGGUUGAACUAAGGAGAAAACCCAGGUCUCAUGAGAGACCUGAGCUUUUCCCCGCACAGUCUCGUUCGAGACUGUGCCUGUCUCGAACGAGACAGUGCAAAAUUUGCACUGGUCUCGAACGAGACCAGCCUGUCUCGUUCGAGAACCAGGCAUAUUUUGCUGGUCUCGUUCGAGACCAGCGAUACCCCUCCAAGGAGGGCAGUUUGGGCAUAUUUUUCUCUUCUUUCGAAACCGUAUUUAAACCAAACUCCAACCCUAAUUCAUUCUCCACACUUCAAAGAAACCAUAGCCGUCUUUCCCUUCCUUUUUCGCUGAAAAAUCAUUGAUCGUUUCCGUUCUCAAAGCUUGAGAAAAGUAUCGAUCGAAAUUGAUUCCGCUUGAUCUCAGACGUUGUGGACUCGAUUCUCUACGUUCCUCUUUUUCGUGUUCGGUUAACGGUACGUUAUUUCCUUCGUUUGAGCCACCGCCGUUACAUCGUCGCGUUUGAUUUCAGUUUUUAGUUUUAAAACAACUUUCAAUGUUUUGGUUCGUUUGUUAUCGUUUCUAGGUCGAAAUUGUUUUCGUUUGAUCCCGGAGACUCUAGACUCUCCUACCUUCGAGUCCCUAGCUCUUUUACGCUUUACGGUGUGCCGCUGAGCUCGUGUUUAUCUCUGCCGUUUCGUCGCUUGACUCGUCUACUGUUCGUGCUUCAGAGGCGAACCAGAAUUAGUGCUUGCCAGUAUUUCACGUGGAUUAGCAAGCAGGUUAUGAUCUGAGAGAGUCUGGUGAUCUCCGCUUUUACUUUUCCUCGGAGGUUCCAUUUAUUUUUAGUAGAACUAUCAAACUGUUUUAUUCUUAGACCGCAGUAGUUGACUAGACGUCUUUAUUUUAUUCUAGUUGUUGUCGGAUUGGUCCGACUGGAUUAUUAUUGCUUUGGCAUGUUAUAUAAUUUUUCAGAAUCAUUUAUGUUACGCCUAAUUAUAAUUCAAUAUUGGAAAGCAUGUUAUAUUAAAUGUUGAUUAUUAUAACUGCUAGACUUAGGCUGAAGUCUCGGUUGCCCCCGAGCAUUGGUUUUCUUGCAGGUUUAUGUUUUGU